rnacentral:rRNA from 1 species
UACGGAGGGUGCAAGCGUUAUCCGGAUUCACUGGGUUUAAAGGGUGCGUAGGUGGGUCUGUAAGUCAGUGGUGAAAUCUCCGAGCUUAACUUGGAAACUGCCAUUGAUACUAUAGCUCUUGGAUUUUCUGGAGGUAAGCGGAAUAUGUCAUGUAGCGGUGAAAUGCUUAGAUAUGACAUAGAACACCAAUUGCGAAGGCAGCUUGCUACAAGAACAUUGACACUGAGGCACGAAAGCGUGGGGAUCAAACAGG